UCAAGUUCCUCUUCUGUAGAACUGCCUUGGAUUUCUGGGGAUUCACUUCAGGCCCUAUUCAUCCGGUUUGCUCCCAUGCUUGGAGAUGUCACUUGAGAAGGCUGGAGAAUAGCAAAGGCAAUAGGAAGGCCCAAGAAGAGGAAGAAAGAUUGAGGAAAUGGCCAGUUUGUGCAGCAGUCAGAACAUACGCAUUUACUGAUUAAGCUUGCUGUUAUAUAUGGAUGCAGUUUGUGGCACCUCAAAAUAAUUACAAAAGCAACAUUAAAGAUCACUGAUCACAAAUCACCAUAACAUAUAUAAUAAGAAUGGAAAAGUUUGGUAUAUUGCAAACAUGACCAAACUGUGACACAGAGACACAAAGUGAGUGCACGGUGUUUAAAAAAAUGGUGCAAUAGACUUACUCAACACAGGGUUGCCACAUAUCUUCAAUAUGUAAAAAAUGCAAAGUCUGCAAAGUGCAAUAAAGAAAAGCAUAAUACAAUGAAGUAUGCCUAUAGAUAAUUGCCAAUGACUCAUGUUCAGGAUUACAGAAAAAUGAGUGUUGUUGCUUUGAGAAGGAAAGGGUCCUGGGUCUGGGGUAUCAUAAGAAGUCAUAUCAGAAUGGAUAGAAACCAGAGGCUUGGUAAGAUGCUUCCCUUAAAAUGUCAGAAGGUAAAACUGUCAGAAACACCAUUGCCAGCACUCCUGAGCCUGGCAUGAGACUGAGGACCUUAAAUGUAGUGGCUAUAUAUCUCUCGUGUUCUGCUGUAGCCCUGAAUCCUGGCACAGAUCUGGAGUUCAAUAAAUCUUUGCUGAACUUUUUAAUAA